rnacentral:snoRNA from 1 species
AACCCAUGGUGAGGGCACCUUCUAAACUGAUCCUUGUAUCUCUCCCAUGCAUCGUAGAGUGUUUCUAAAUCCAUCUGCACAAAAGAAGACAUAUCAUUCCGUAAUCU